GAUGAACGCUGGCGGCGUGCCUAAUACAUGCAAGUCGAGCGAACAGACGAGGAGCUUGCUCCUCUGACGUUAGCGGCGGACGGGUGAGUAACACGUGGAUAACCUACCUAUAAGACUGGGAUAACUUCGGGAAACCGGAGCUAAUACCGGAUAAUAUAUUGAACCGCAUGGUUCAAUAGUGAAAGACGGUUUUGCUGUCACUUAUAGAUGGCUCCGCGCCGCAUUAGCUAGUUGGUAAGGUAACGGCUUACCAAGGCGACGAUGCGUAGCCGACCUGAGAGGGUGAUCGGCCACACUGGAACAGAGACACGGUACAGACUCCUACGGGAGGCAGCAGUAGGGAAUCUUCCGCAAUGGGCGAAAGCCUGACGGAGCAACGCCGCGUGAGUGAUGAAGGUCUUCGGAUCGUAAAACUCUGUUAUUAGGGAAGAACAAAUGUGUAAGUAACUAUGCACGUCUUGACGGUACCUAAUCAGAAAGCCACGGCUAACUACGUG
rnacentral:rRNA from 1 species